GACGAAGGGGGCUAGCGUUGUUCGGAAUUACUGGGCGUAAAGCGCGCGCAGGCGGUCGUUCAAGUCGAGUGUGAAAGCCCCCGGCUCAACUGGGGAGGGUCAUUCGAUACUGAUCGACUCGAAGGCAGGAGAGGGAAGUGGAAUUCCAGGUGUAGCGGUGAAAUGCGUAGAUAUCUGGAGGAACACCGGUGGCGAAGGCGGCAUCCUGGACCAAUACUGACGCUGAGGAGCGAAAGCCAGGGGAGCAAACGGG
rnacentral:rRNA from 1 species